GGCAUCGCCCUUAUAGCUCAAUGGUAGAGCUCCGGCCUGGAAAGCCAAAGACCAGUGGUUCGAUCCCCGUCCGAACAUACCA
rnacentral:tRNA from 1 species